UAGGGUUGAAGGUCGAGAGCGUGGAAGCUUUACGAUGAUCCUCAACUGAUGAUUAUAUAAUGUAUAAAUAUAUUUCGCUGGGCUAUCUCUUAACUGCCGCGAAAUCUCUCGGAUUAUUUAGGAAUUUUGUGAAGGAAAUUGAAGCUAUAUUUUGCAUUUCGACUGAGAAGAGAGACAUCCGCUGACCACAAUGAAGUCUUCUUAAUCAGACUCAUGCCAGUACGAUUCAGCAAAGUGUUUGUUUUUUUGUAUGUA
rnacentral:lncRNA from 1 species